CUCAAGUUCUACAUAGGCCUACUUGGUAAAUCUAAGUGUUCAUAAAGCUCUGUAGAAUGAAGUAUCUGGUACUGAUUGUUUGUUCGGCUCUCUUAGCUUCCUACAUUAAGGCUUCGGAAAGUGACGAUCUUUUUUCAGUGGAUUCUGGAGAAGAUUCUAGUCCAGAGGAGACAAUCAAAGAACUGAUUUUACUCAAAGUUCUUGCUGAAGCUGCAAAACUUCAACAGGCCAAAGCUAAUGCUGGUGGCGCCAACACAUCUGCCAGAUAAACUUGAUCCGAGGAUGAGUGUGAAAGAAAUAGCGUGUACAAACUUUGCACUACACAGACAGACAGAAAUGUUUGAUAGAAGCUUUGUAAAAAGACAUACAUUCUUAAAUAUAAAGUUUAACAUACAUACAUUCAUGGACCAAGAUGAAAUAAAAACAACAAAGAAAAAAAUAUGGAAAUAUGUUAUGUGAUGGUCAUUAAAAGAAAAAAUACCCAGAGUGUCAUUUCUAAAUACCAAGUUAACAAAUGUUUACUUUCAUGUCUCUUUGUGAAGCAGAAUGACACUACUUCUAAAGUAUUGUAUUUGUAACUUUUAAAUCUU